GCACAGAGAGCUUGCUCUCGGGUGACGAGCGGCGGACGGGUGAGUAAUGUCUGGGAAACUGCCUGAUGGAGGGGGAUAACUACUGGAAACGGUAGCUAAUACCGCAUAACGUCGCAAGACCAAAGUGGGGGACCUUCGGGCCUCAUGCCAUCAGAUGUGCCCAGAUGGGAUUAGCUAGUAGGUGGGGUAACGGCUCACCUAGGCGACGAUCCCUAGCUGGUCUGAGAGGAUGACCAGCCACACUGGAACUGAGACACGGUCCAGACUCCUACGGGAGGCAGCAGUGGGGAAUAUUGCACAAUGGGCGCAAGCCUGAUGCAGCCAUGCCGCGUGUAUGAAGAAGGCCUUCGGGUUGUAAAGUACUUUCAGCGGGGAGGAAGGCGAUAAGGUUAAUAACCUUGUCGAUUGACGUUACCCGCAGAAGAAGCACCGGCUAACUCCGUGCCAGCAGCCGCGGUAAUACGGAGGGUGCAAGCGUUAAUCGGAAUUACUGGGCGUAAAGCGCACGCAGGCGGUCUGUCAAGUCGGAUGUGAAAUCCCCGGGCUCAACCUGGGAACUGCAUUCGAAACUGGCAGGCUAGAGUCUUGUAGAGGGGGGUAGAAUUCCAGGUGUAGCGGUGAAAUGCGUAGAGAUCUGGAGGAAUACCGGUGGCGAAGGCGGCCCCCUGGACAAGACUGACGCUCAUGUGCGAAAGCGUGGGGAGCAAACAGGAUUAGAUACCCCU
rnacentral:rRNA from 1 species